AGGGCUCCUCCCCUUCCUGUCAGCAUCCAAUCAGAAGGAUGAAACACAGUGAGCCGUGACGACCUUCAGCCUGGUGGAAUAACACAAUUUAAACUGAAUAAAGACAUUACCUGUCCCUUCCACAGAGACAGGAUAUUGUCAGAGACGUGGACGACGAUCGGCUCCCACUCGUCUCUGUCUGUAGAGUUCAUGAUGCUUUCGAUUGCUCGGUUCAGCACCUCCAUACCUGCACAAACACACCAACACGGACGACCUUCAGCACGGAGGUUACCGAUGUACUGGACCUGGAACUUCUGGACCUGCUGCCGCACCGCUUCCAGAAACUCCACUGAAACCCAACAAACAGAAGGAAUCAGCAGAGAGCCAAUCAGAGAGCAGCAGGUGAUGAUGUCAGAGAACACGGGAGUCACCUUGUCUUGGCAGGUCUUCAGGUGAGAUGCUCUCCAUCGUCAGAGAGCGAGACGGCCUCAUCAGCGUCUUCUCAGACAACAUCUGCAGACACAGAGACAUUCAGACCCGUGCUGAUCUACGUGAGGGGCUACAGGAUCUGUCCGUCCAUUUUCUUCCACUCGUCCGGGGUCAGGUCGUGGUGACAGCAAUGCUCCUGCUGAGGGAUCCAGAGGUGCUCUCAAGCCAACAUGUAAUCACAUCAGCCUCAGCUGUGUCUUGUGUUUACUGCCAGUUAGCUAAUGUUAGCGUGCUAACUGGUGAAACUAAGAUGGAGAACCCGAGAGCAUCUGAGCGGCGGACUCACUCACCUUGGAGCACAUCUCAUGCAGCGCUGUGGCGAUGGCUUUGGCCGGAGCGUUGCAGCGAAACACGUGACACUUCAGCACACAGCUGUCCUUAUCACCUGCUACGAAGGCAAAGUCCCUGAAGGCACCACACACACAGAGGACAGAUCAUGUUGCUGUGACCAACCAGCUGAUGGACUGAUGAUCAUGUGACUGGGAGGCCGUUGCUCUGUCUCUUUGUUGGAGCUCUGCUGUCCAGCCUCCUCCUGCUGAGAUUCAACACCACAGAAGAAGAAGAUGCAUCAGACAAACCUGAGCUAAUAUGAGCUAACUCGGCUACACUGGACUCACUGGGUUAAUCUGGACUAACUGAUUAAAGAGGGUCUAACCUGUGUG